rnacentral:rRNA from 1 species
GACGUAGGGUCCAAGCGUGUCCGGAUUUACUGGGCGUAAAGAGCGCGUAGGCGGCUCGUUAAGUGCGAAGUGAAAUCUCUGAGCUCAACUCAGAAACUGCUUUACAUACUGGCGGGCUAGAGGUAGGUAGAGGUUUGUGGAAUUCCCGGUGUAGCGGUGGAAUGCGUAGAUAUCGGGAGGAACACCAAUGGCGAAGGCAGCAAACUGGACCUAUCCUGACGCUGAGGCGCGAAAGCGUGGGUAGCAAACAGGAUUAGAUACCCUGGUAGUCCACGCCCUAAACGAUGGAUACUAGGCGUAAGAGGUAACCAUCCCUCUUGUGCCGCAGCUAACGCAUUAAGUAUCCCGCCUGGGGAGUACGACCGCAAGGUUGAAACUUAAAUGAAUUGACGGGGACCCGCACAAGCGGUGGAGCAUGUGGAUUAAUUCGAUACUAACCGAAGAACCUUACCCAGGUUUGACAUCGCGAGUAAGGCUAAGAGAUUAGCCCCUCCCAAAAGGACUCAAAGACACUUGUUGCAUGGCUGUCGUCAGCUCGUGCCGUGAGGUGUACGGUUAAGUCCGCCAACGAGCGCAACCCUCGUCCUGUGUUACCAGCACGUAAUGGUGGGGACUCACAGGAGACCGCCGGUGUAAGCCGGAGGAAGGUGAGGAUGACGUCAAGUCAGCAUGGCAGUUACAUCUGGGGCUUCACACAUGCUACAAUGGACGAAACAAAGGGCAGCAAUACCGCGAGGUGGAGCCAAUCCCAAAAAUACGUCCUCAGUUCAGAUUGUAGUCUGCAACUCGACUACAUGAAGUCGGAAUCGCUAGUAAACGCAGGUCAGCUAUACUGAGUGAAUAGGUUCCCGGUCUGAACC